AACAUUCAUUUAUGAGCACAUUCUCAAAGCCCAAAAUGCAAAGGCAAACUUUGAAGGAAAAAUAGAGUGGAGAGUGGGAAAAAAAAAAUGGUUAGCGGGAGGAGGAAGAAGUGUGUGAAAAAAUGGCGGCGGCGAACUCUGAGGGUAAUGGUCAGAAACCGAGAUUGGAAACGUUUCAGUUAUUCUCUUCCUCCGCUUCCGCCUUCGGAAUCUUCGACGAUGCUGCGCAACAAGUUCCUCAUAUACCUCCUCCUCCCUGCGUUGAAGUCCUUGCUUCUGAGGUUCCUUCAUCCAUCAAACACAACGUGGACUCUGUAAAUUUGGAUGGAGUUACUUUGUUAAAGGGGCGGGUGAAUACCCAACAAGUUUUUGGUUUGUCCAACUCCAAUUUAGUUCCCUGGAAAUAUGAAGGAGGACUUAAGCUGUGGGAAGGUUCACUUGAUCUAAUUAAAGCCCUUCGUUCAGAUAUCAGAAAUGGGCUUAUCUCAUUUAGUGGGAAGCGAGUGUUAGAGGUAGGAUCUGGUCAUGGACUCCCUGGAAUCUUUGCAUUGCUUGAGGGGGCAGCUGCUGUACAUUUUCAAGACUUCAAUGCUGAGGUCCUACGUUUCCUCACAAUUCCUAAUUUAAAUGCUAAUCUUUCUAGAGAUACUCAACUAUCGUCAUUCAACUCCACAAUUUGUGACAAGGCAGAAGUUUGCUUUUUUGCUGGUGACUGGAGUGGAAUUGAUAAACUGCUCCCUCAUGUCAGUACAGAUGCAAAAAAUAAUCAAGGUGAUGGUUAUGACUUUAUUCUUAUGGCUGAGACAGUUUACUCAAUCAACAGUCUCCAAAAUCUCUAUGAUCUUAUCAAGAAGUGCUUGCAGCAUCCUGAUGGAGUUGUGUACAUGGCAGCAAAGAAGUAUUAUUUUGGAGUAGGUGGUGGAACUGGUGAUUUCUGUCUGUGGUAGAGAAGGAUGGUGUCAUGACUAGUAGCCUGGUUGCUGAAAUCACAGAUGGUUCAUCUAAUGUUCAUGAAGUAUGGAAGCUUGCAUACAAGUAGUAUCGGUAUUUUCUUCCUUCACCAGUCAAACUAUCCCCGGUUUAUUUGCUCAUGAUUGCCCAUGCAUGAAAAGGGGGCUGUUGGAAGGGUGGUGAUGGGUUGACCAUGUUGCCAGUUUAUAUCCAAUUCAGAGGUCAUUCAUGGCGGACGAGUUUUGGUAAUGGUUGUAGAAACCGUAUGGUCAGAAGAGAAUCUUUACCCUCAUUUCAAGCUAUACUUCUCUGCUUAUACCGGGCUUGGUUUUUCUUGGUCAAUUGUAUUUUCUAGUAGGUAAUGCAAAUAUAUAUAAUUUUCUCAUUUGUGUUUAUUUUGACCUUAUUCCUAGUGGUAUAAGGUUUUUAUUGUUGUUGUACUUAUUUUGAUUGGAUGCAAUGCAUUGCUGGAGCUAACCCCUUAGCAGAACUUAAGGAAUCAAAGAAUGAUCACGAAAUGAGGGAAGUAAUAGGAAAUUUGUCCUAUAAUUUUAAAUUCCAAAUCUCCCAUGAAAUAUGAUCAACAUCAGAAAGAUUAUAAAUGAAUCCAACAACUAUAGGAUCUUGGCAUGAAGCUGCAGUAAAAAAAAGGGUCAGAACUACAACCGACAACAGACAGAUUAUAUGUGAAAGGUCAAGAGUCAGACCUACAACGAUAAUAUUUCGAGCAGCCUCUGUUUGGAGGGUUUGAUGGGGGAGGAAGACACCCUUCACUUUUGCUGUAAGCUUCACCACGGGCACCACUAUUACAUUCUUCCUUGUCUCUCACAAGAGCACCUUUGGAAAUGUACUCCUCCAGAAACCUUCGUCUUAUUUCUGAUUACAUCAGUAGCUCAUCUUGAUUGCAUUCGGUUAUGGAACCAUUGUAUGCGUUUGAAUGUCUUGUCUGGGACAACAGUCUUUUCUAA